CCUUUGAUAGCUCAGUGGGUAGAGCAAAGGACUAUAGAUCCUUAGGUUGCUAGUUCAAAUCUAGCUCAAAGGA